GAUGAACGCCGGCGCCGUGCCUAAUACAUGCAAGUCGAGCGAACGGACGAGAAGCUUGCUUCUCUGAUGUUAGCGGCGGACGGGUGAGUAACACGUGGAUAACCUACCUAUAAGACUGGGAUAACUUCGGGAAACCGGAGCUAAUACCGGAUAAUAUUUUGAACCGCAUGGUUCAAAAGUGAAAGACGGUCUUGCUGUCACUUAUAGAUGGAUCCGCGCUGCAUUAGCUAGUUGGUAAGGUAACGGCUUACCAAGGCAACGAUGCAUAGCCGACCUGAGAGGGUGAUCGGCCACACUGGAACUGAGACACGGUCCAGACUCCUACGGGAGGCAUCAGUAGGGAAUCUUCCGCAAUGGGCGAAAGCCUGACGGAGCAACGCCGCGUGAGUGAUGAAGGUCUUCGGAUCGUAAAACUCUGUUAUUAGGGAAGAACAUAUGUGUAAGUAACUGUGCACAUCUUGACGGUACCUAAUCAGAAAGCCACGGCUAACUACGUG
rnacentral:rRNA from 1 species